UUAAAUUUUAUUAUUUAAUUAGAUUUUCUUUUAUAAAAAAUUAUAAUUUAACUUUAAGGGUACUCGUGAGAGGCUUUUAAAAAAAUUUUUGAACUUUAAAACUUAAGUGUUUUGUGGGUAAGGAUUUAUUAAACUUUAAAGAUUGUGUUCUUUUUCCCGAAUUAAACUAUUAUUUUUAUAAAAAGGAUUUGAAACUGUAGAAAAAUUUUUUUAAAAAAUAUAAAAAGACAGUAAAACGCUAUGAAGUUUAAGAUAUCUGGUUAUUUAAGUUUCCAAUUAAGUUGGAAUUAUGUUUAUAAAGGUUUGUAAAGAAAAGUUUAGUUUUCUUUUAAAAUUUCAAAGAAAACCUUGCCAUAAUAAAUUUUCCUUAAUAGUUAAUGGUGCUUAGUAUAGUUUUAUAACUAAAAAAAUUUUUUUGUCUUCUUUUUUCUUGUCUAGAAUUAAAAUAAUUGACAAAAUAUUUGUUGAAAAAAUAAUGAUAAAAUGAGUAGUUUGAACAAAUUUGCAUUAAAAAAUUUUACAAAUAAAUACAGCGACUGUUUAGCAAAAACAUAGUUUUUUGAAUCUAUUUAAAAAAUUUGUUCUGCCCAAUGAAGCAUUACACUUUAAAUGGCCGUAGUUUCCUAUGCAAAGGUAGCAUAAUCAUUUGUUACUUAAUUAGUAACUUGUAUGAAAGAAUUAACGCUGUGUUAUUUUCUUAAGGUAAAUACAAUGAAUUUGGAUUGUAUGUUAAAAUACAUAUUUUAUAAAACUAGACGAAAAGACCCUAUUGAGCUGCAUUAAGAGUUUUUAAUUUAGCUGGGGCGGCUUCUGUAAUCACAUUUCAUGUUAUAAAUUUUUUGAAAAAGAUCCUUUAUUUUAAAAGAUAUAAGAAAAGUUACCUUAGGGUUAACAGCGUAAUUUUUUAGACGAGUUCUAAUCAUUUAAAAAGCUUGCGACCUCGAUGUUGGAUUAAAUUUACCUUUUUGGGCAAAACUAAAAAAGGUUUGUCUGUUCGACAAUUAAAAAUUUACAUGAUCUGAGUUCAAACCGGUGAAAGCCAGGUUGGUCUUUAUCUGUUUCAAACUUGAAAAUAGUACGAAAGGACCUUUUUGAGAUUAUUGCUUUUCAAUUUUACAAUAUCUUGUUGUAAAAAAAAAAAAACUUUUAAUUUAAAAAAUUUCAAUUGAAACUUUUAUUUUUACAUUUUUGUUGUUAUGGAAGAUUGAUAGGGCAGAAGAGUGGGCGAGCUCCCAAUUUAAAAAUUAAAAUGAAAGCCAUAGUUGGCGCGGGAGAGGGGAAGAACGGUUUUGUUAAGAGUUUUUGGAAUCUCUUUGUGCUAAUAAAGAGGCUUUAGCCUGCAAUAAUUGGCGCGGGAGAGGGGAAGAAUAACUUUAGUAUUGUUUUAAGGGUUACAUUUUUUUUGUUGUUAUGGAAGAUUGAUAGGGCAGAAGAGUGGGCGAGCUCCCAAUUUAAAAAUUAAAAUGAAAGCCAUAGUUGGCGCGGGAGAGGGGAAGAACGGUUUUGUUAAGAGUUUUUGGAAUCUUUUUGUGCUAAUAAAGAGGCUUUAGCCUGCAAUAAUUGGCGCGGGAGAGGGGAAGAAUAACUUUAGUAUUGUUUUAAGGGUUACAUUUUUUUUGUUGUUAUGGAAGAUUGAUAGGGCAGAAGAGUGGGCGAGCUCCCAAUUUAAAAAUUAAAAUGAAAGCCAUAGUUGGCGCGGGAGAGGGGAAGAACGGUUUUGUUAAGAGUUUUUGGAAUCUUUUUGUGCUAAUAAAGAGGCUUUAGCCUGCAAUAAUUGGCGCGGGAGAGGGGAAGAAUAACUUUAGUAUUGUUUUAAGGGUUACAUUUUUUUGUUGUUAUGGAAGAUUGAUAGGGCAGAAGAGUGGGCAAGCAACCUAGUGUCAGGAACGGGUGAGUUAGCAGGGCGGGGACC
rnacentral:rRNA from 1 species